AGAGUUUGUAUCCUGGCGUCAGGAUAAACGCUGGCGGCGUGCAUGAGACAUGCAAGUCGAACGAAUUUCUCGGGCUUGCUCGAGAAGUUAGUGGCGGACGGGCUGAGUAACGCGUAGGUGACCUGCCCCGAAUGGGGGAAGUAACUAGCCCGAAAGGGUGGCUAAUACCGCAUACGAUCGAUCAUUCAUUUAAUCGAUCAAAGCAGUAAUGCGCUUCGGGAGGGGCCUGCGUCCGACUAGCUCGUUGUGGGGUAAUGGCUCACCAAGGCGACGAUCGGUAGGUGGUCUGAGAGGACGAUCACCCAGACUGGGACUGAGACACGGCCCAGACUCCUACGGGAGGCAGCAGUCGGGAAUUUUGCUCAAUGGACGAAAGUCUGAAGCAGCAACGCCGCGUGAGGGAUGAAGGCCUUCGGGUUGUAAACCUCUUUUAUCAGGGACGAUAAUGACGGUACCUGAUGAAUAAGCCACGGCUAACUACGUG
rnacentral:rRNA from 1 species